rnacentral:rRNA from 1 species
UACGGAGGAUGCGAGCGUUAUCCGGAGUUAUUGGGUUUAAAGGGUGCGUAGGCGGACUGUCAAGUCAGCGGUAAAAUUGAGAGGCUCAACCUCUUCCCGCCGUUGAAACUGGUGGUCUUGAGUGGAUGAGAAGUACGCGGAAUGCGUGGUGUAGCGGUGAAAUGCAUAGAUAUCACGCAGAACUCCGAUUGCGAAGGCAGCGUACCGGCAUCCAACUGACGCUGAGGCACGAAAGCGUGGGGAUCAAACAGG